UGGGGAAUAUUGGACAAUGGGGGCAACCCUGAUCCAGCCAUGCCGCGUGAGUGAUGAAGGCCCUAGGGUUGUAAAGCUCUUUCAACGGUGAAGAUAAUGACGGUAGCCGUAGAAGAAGCCCCGGCUAACUUCGUGCCAGCAGCCGCGGUAAUACGAAGGGGGCAAGCGUUGUUCGGAAUAACUGGGCGUAAAGCGCGCGUAGGCGGAUCGUUUAGUCAGAGGUGAAAUCCCAGGGCUCAACCCUGGAACUGCCUUUGAUACUGGCGAUCUUGAGUUCGAGAGAGGUGAGUGGAAUUCCGAGUGUAGAGGUGAAAUUCGUAGAUAUUCGGAGGAACACCAGUGGCGAAGGCGGCUCACUGGCUCGAAACUGACGCUGAGGUGCGAAAGCGUGGGGAGCAAACAGGAUUAGAUACCCCCGUAGUCC
rnacentral:rRNA from 1 species